rnacentral:rRNA from 1 species
GACGAACGCUGGCGGCGCGCCUAACACAUGCAAGUCGAACGGAGCUUAGAGGGCUUGCUUUUUAAGCUUAGUGGCGAACGGGUGAGUAACGCGUGAGUAACCUGCCCUGGAGUGGGGGACAACAGUUGGAAACGACUGCUAAUACCGCAUAAGCCCACGGUACCGCAUGGUACUGAGGGAAAAGGAUUUAUUCGCUUUAGGAUGGACUCGCGUCCAAUUAGCUAGUUGGUGAGGUAACGGCCCACCAAGGCGACGAUUGGUAGCCGGACUGAGAGGUUGAACGGCCACAUUGGGACUGAGACACGGCCCAGACUCCUACGGGAGGCAGCAGUGGGGGAUAUUGCACAAUGGGGGAAACCCUGAUGCAGCGACGCCGCGUGGAGGAAGAAGGUUUUCGGAUUGUAAACUCCUGUCGUUAGGGACGAUAAUGACG